AUGAGGGGGGGUUGGGGUGGGAGGAGGAUUUGGGUUUGCGACGACGCGGAGGUUGGGAGGGGAGAAGGGUUACGUGGAGAGCGGAGACUGGGCGCUUGGCCAAUCUGGCUUGUUUUUUUCAGAGAAAUAUUCAUCACUGAUCUUGUUGCGGCUGACAGUUCUGGUUUCCUCCUCCGACGGCGUAGUCAUGCGGAGGUGUCAGUUCUGGAGUUCGAUGGCGUGUCCGGGGACACGUUGCUCGGUCUGAUUCUUUCAACGGCAAUGGUUUUGCUUCAGGCAAACUACUUUGGAGGUCCGUAA
rnacentral:rRNA from 1 species